rnacentral:tRNA from 1 species
GAGGGAAUAGCUCAGUGGUAGAGCACAUGCUUGGCAUUCACGAGGUCCUGGGUUCAAUCCCCAGAACCUCCA